rnacentral:rRNA from 1 species
CAGUAGCCGCGGGAAUACGGAGGAUCCGAGCGUUAUCCGGAUUUAUUGGGUUUAAAGGGUGCGUAGGCGGCUUUCUAAGUCAGGGGUGAAAGACGGUAGCUUAACUAUCGCAGUGCCCUUGAUACUGAAGAGCUUGAAUGUACUAGAGGUAGGCGGAAUGUGACAAGUAGCGGUGAAAUGCAUAGAUAUGUCACAGAACGCCAAUUGCGAAGGCAGCUUACUAUGGUAUGAUUGACGCUGAGGCACGGAAGCGUGGGGAUCAAACAGGAUUAGAUACCCCGGUAGUCCCUGUCUCUUAUAC